UAGGGAAUCUUCCACAAUGGACGCAAGUCUGAUGGAGCAACGCCGCGUGAGUGAAGAAGGUUUUCGGAUCGUAAAGCUCUGUUGUUGGUGAAGAAGGAUAGAGGCAGUAACUGGUCUUUAUUUGACGGUAAUCAACCAGAAAGUCACGGCUAACUACGUGCCAGCAGCCGCGGUAAUACGUAGGUGGCAAGCGUUGUCCGGAUUUAUUGGGCGUAAAGCGAGCGCAGGCGGAAUGAUAAGUCUGAUGUGAAAGCCCACGGCUCAACCGUGGAACUGCAUCGGAAACUGUCAUUCUUGAGUGCAGAAGAGGAGAGUGGAAUUCCAUGUGUAGCGGUGGAAUGCGUAGAUAUAUGGAAGAACACCAGUGGCGAAGGCGGCUCUCUGGUCUGCAACUGACGCUGAGGCUCGAAAGCGUGGGUAGCGAACAGG
rnacentral:rRNA from 1 species